UUACUGACUUAGAAGGAAUUGAAGUUAAGAGAUUCUUGGUGUGGCUAAAUGUGAAUGAGAUCCUUGAAGUUAAGCUUCAUUUACAAGAAGCUUGAUAUCAAACGGUUUGAAACUCUUCAUUCUUGUUUGGCCUUGUGUGGAGGAACAUCUCUGAGACAGGUACUUCCGUCUAGAUUUAAUGACUCUGUUCUCGAUAAUUGGAAGAAAGAGAAGAGUAAAACUACUGUAAAAGAAUCAACUUUGGACCCUGAAUUUAAUCUGUAUAGAGAAAAAGGUAGCUUGAAAAACGCCAAACGUGAAAUUGGAACUAAGAAGCGUGUGGAUGACAAGGUAAAUUACCAAUGUUGUGUGUUUUCGCCUGAUGGAACAGUAGAAAUUGGGUAUAAUGGGUCAAAGCGAUUAGAUAGUAGGAAAUAUUCUACUUCCCGCAGUACAUUAGCAUCAUUACACGAGCGAUUGGGAGAUGCCGACACGCUUGUUGGGGAGUUUGAUGAAGCUAUAGAUUUUAAGUGGAACUGAUGCAAUGGUGAAGCGGGAGGGAGGGAGGAGAGCUUAUAGGUUUGAUCAUGAGGGUUUUAAUUCAGGUGACAUAGUUUGGGGACAUUGUCCUGCUUGGCCGGCAAUUGUACUUGAUUCAGAAACACAAGCUCCUCAAUUAUCGUGUUGCUGGAACAGUAUGUGUCAUGUUCUUUGGCUACUCUGGAAAUGGCACGCAAAGGGAUUAUGCAUGGAUUAGACGCUGGGUGCUAUUUCCAUUUAUGGAACAUGUAGACAGGUUAUAGGGGCAGACUGACUUGAACGACAGCACGCCUGCUGAUCUUCGCUCUGCCACAGAAGAGGUGUUUCUUGCUGAAAAUGGUGUUGUUGAGAUGUUGAUGAUUGAAAUAAAUGCAGCAGCUGGUAAUCUAGACCAUCUCCGGUCUCUUCCCCGAGGAGUAUUCGAGGCCAGUGAUUCAAAUCAGGACCAAGAGUGUAACUCUCCAAGCCAGGCACGUUUCUGUUGAGUAAAUUGUUCUGUAUUGUUCCCAUAGCAAGAUCAUGAUAAAUUGUUUUCUCCAGAUUCUAAUUUUUAUUCAUGGACUCUUGGUUUACUCAUUGUUUCUUGCCUUGUCUCUCUGACUGGAUUUGACAGAGCUACAAUUCUACUGCUCAAACUUCUUUGCCACAAAAGAUAAAUAAGGAAUAGGAGAAUUUGUUA